rfam:Actinoplanes awajinensis subsp. mycoplanecinus strain NRRL B-16712 P067contig12.1, whole genome shotgun sequence.
GGGGUUCCGGUUCACGUCUUCCCAUCCGCGGCAGGCGACCCGGCGGCC